rnacentral:rRNA from 1 species
AUUGAACGCUGGCGGCAUGCUUUACACAUGCAAGUCGAACGGUAACAGGCCGCAAGGUGCUGACGAGUGGCGAACGGGUGAGUAAUGCAUCGGAACGUGCCCAGUCGUGGGGGAUAACGCAGCGAAAGCUGCGCUAAUACCGCAUACGAUCUAUGGAUGAAAGCGGGGGACCGUAAGGCCUCGCGCGAUUGGAGCGGCCGAUGUCAGAUUAGGUAGUUGGUGGGGGAAAGGCGCACCAAGCCAACGAUAUGUAGCUGGUCUGAGAGGACGACCAGCCAACCUGGGACUGAGACACGGCCAAGACUCCUACGGGAGGCAGCAGUGGGGAAUUUUGGACAAGGGGCGCAAGCCUGAUCCAGCAAUGCCGCGUGCAGGAAGAAGGCCUUCGGGUUGUAAACUGCUUUUGUACGGAACGAAAAGGCUCUGGUUAAUACCUGGGGCUCAUGACGGUACCGUAAGAAUAAGCACCGGCUAACUACGUGCCAGCCGCCGCCGUAACAC